GCACGCGCCACGCGGUACGGUCUGUCCGAUAUCGACGACGGCGAGACGGAAGCCGGUGGGAAUCCGGCACGGUCGCGCCACUGUAUGCGAGUUGCCUCCUGGGGCGUUUCGUGAGUCAGACCCGUGGCCGUCGUCCACUGCACCAC
rfam:Streptomyces cellostaticus strain DSM 40189 genomic scaffold PRJNA299219_s016, whole genome shotgun sequence.